rnacentral:rRNA from 1 species
CCUACGGGUGGCAGCAGUGAGGAAUAUUGGUCAAUGGACGCAAGUCUGAACCAGCCAUGCCGCGUGCGGGAAGACGGCUCUAUGGGUUGUAAACUGCUUUUAUAAGGGGAUAAAGCGCGGUACGUGUACCGGGUUGUAAGUAUCUUAUGAAUAAGGAUCGGCUAACUCCGUGCCAGCAGCCGCGGUAAUACGGAGGAUCCGAGCGUUAUCCGGAUUUAUUGGGUUUAAAGGGUGCGUAGGCGGCUGGUUAAGUGAGAGGUGAAAUCCUGUGGCUCAACCACGGCAUUGCCUUUGAUACUGGGGGGCUUGAGUUUGUUUGAGGUAGGCGGAAUGUGUGGUGUAGCGGUGAAAUGCAUAGAGAUCAUACAGAACCCCGAUUGCGAAGGCAGCUUACCAAGCCAUGACUGACGCUGAGGCACGAAAGCGUGGGGAGCAAACAGGAUUAGAUACCCUGGUAGUC